CCGCCGCUCUUCCCUCUUUUUUUCUCUUUUCAUCAUCAUAUCUUCUUCUUCUCAACAGCUAAAUCCGCACAGAAAAGUUGAGGGACAACAGAGAGAUCGAGUGAAAUUACUGUCGUUUAUGUCGAUUUGGUACCAUCAAUGGAAGAAGAAAAAAACUGAGUAACCUAAUUGUAUGUUCAAUCUCAAUCUCUGGGAUUCGAAGUUGAGACAAAGAAAGAACAUGGGUCGUCUCGAAUUCAAGCUACUGCUGAGAAAACUGGUUCACAUGAACUUGUUACUGCCGUUGGUUUCAAGGAUUAAUGGAGACGAUUGAAGGCAAUUUCAGGAAGCGGAAAGAUGGGUUUUGAUUGAGAAGUGCAGAUAAUCUAGGAGAGUUGGGUUCUAUUCAGAAUCAAAAAUGCAGAGAAGAACUUGAACUUAAGGAUGUAAAUACAGGGGAGAGGAAUCUCCAUCACCACCUGCAUACAGCUACAGCAUUACUCCAUCACCUGGACUUGAUUCACCACCACAAUUUGCAUCUCCAUUUCACCACCCCCAUCUCCAUACCAUCAUCAUCACCACCUGCAUCACCUUUUCCAGCCACUGCAUACAUCCAUCACCCACCAACAGUCGCAUCUGCAGUUCAGUUCCAUUUUCCAUUCACAACAACAACUUCCAUCCAUCACCAGCACUCCACAUGUUAGCAAGCAAUUACAUCAGCAGCUAGCUUUGUACUUCGUCGCCACCAUUCCACUGUUACCGGGCCAUUGGUCCAAUAUCAGCAGUAGCGAGCUUCUUCGAUCAGCUGAUUCUGCACUUACAACAGGUGCUUCCUGCGAUGAUUGAUGUUGGAACUAAAAAUGAGACGCUUCUCAAAGAUCCUGUGUAUGUUUAAUGAUGAUGUUCACGUACUGGUACAACAUCUUAUUAUGUUUUUAUGAGAUUAUACGUUAUGCAAAGAACUCAAAUUAUUUUCUGUAGUUGCAAUAGCUGGUCUUUUGGGAGCUGUUAGAAUACAGGGAAAACCAAUGACUGAGUUUCCAAAACAAAAGGUUGUAGUUGCAGUUGCUGGAUGGUGAGAUGAUUCGAAAUUAGAACCGCCAAUACAAAGAAAAAAGAGUUUGUUAUAAGAUGCCGUAAGAUCUUGAGACUUGUCUUUCUUCUGUUUCAGUGCAGGAAUAUGAGUUCUUAAUGCAGCAAGGCAAACCAUGUCAAGGAUGUCAGGUAAUGGACUUAUUGCUGAGGAUCGUCCAAAUAUUGAUCCAGUUACACUUCCACUUGCAAGGACAGUCAAAGAACUUGGUCCCCUGGGGAUACAAUCUGGAUCAAGCUUAGUAGAUGUGGAGUUUAGCUAGUCAGCUUGUUGAUUUGCUAUCGAAAAGUGAAACUGGUACUGGUUCGUCAUGUCAUGAAGGAGUUGAAUCUUUGAAGGUGAUGAGGAAGGCAUUACAAUGGAGUUGGAGAUUAGGAGUUUAGGUGUUCAUGCGGAAAGUUGUAUGGUAGUGGAGGAUAGCGUAAUCGGUCUACAGUGCUCUUGAACAAGAAUCCCCUGAUGAAGCUUUUCGGAUGUAUGGUGAUGCUUGUUCCAUCUUUGAAGAAGAUGAAAAGGAUCAAAUGGCCUUCGAUCUAUAUCGUGUUACUGCCAAUGUUUAUGCCAAGCUUGAAAAGUAAGAAAUAUGUCUUGUCUCUUUGAACU